AAACAAAACCCGACUUCCUGUUUCUCAAGGCAAAACUCUUUCUUUGCCUAGUAUCAUGGUUUAUUAUUCAUUAGGGUUCAUAAUUGAUAAAGGCAAGAAGAGUUUCCAUCGAUCCUUUAACAAAAAAAAAAAAAAAAAAGGAAGAAGAGUUUUGUUUUUAAAUUAAGAAGAUCGAGUUUUGCAGAUCCAUCAGCAAACAAAGAAGAAGAUGAAGGUUAAAUUAUUUUCAGGGUAUUCUUUUGUUUUCAAAAUAAAAAUUCAAUAAGAUUUUAUUAUAUUUUUCUUUGUAAUUAGUAUUUUUCUAAUUAGCUAUUGUGGAUGAAAAUUUCUUCCUCCUUGAUCUUGGACAAAAUUGCACCAACAAAACAAUUAACACCUUAGGGUCAAGGCCAAGAGCCUCACGCGCCCACGAUGAAUUGGGGGGGGCUUUGGCCGAAUAACCUCCGAUGCCAAAGUUAGAAUUUAGAGAGAAAAGUGUUUGGAGAGUAUUGGGAACUUUGCAAGUGUGUUGGAAUGAUCUUUUGGUGAAAAUGGAAGCCUAUUUAUAAGGAUAGGGUGACCGGUCCCCUUUGGAUAUUUUUUAGGGUGUAACUUAUGGUUUAAUGUGUGAUUUAAUGGAUUAAUUAGGCAAUUAAUCCAUUAAUUGGUUAAUCAAUACAUUUUUGGAAUAAAUAUUUUAGGGGUUAUGUAAUUUAUAUGGGAUGUUUUGAAGGUUAUGAAAUAAUUACCUUGUGGAAAAUAUAAGAUGAGGAUGGAUGAAAUAACUUUGAAUUUGUUACCUAUUUUGGGCACUUUUGAUUUGGUUGAAGGAUGA
rnacentral:lncRNA from 1 species